rnacentral:lncRNA from 10 species
CUGUAUCAUUUUUUAGGAUGCAGUCUCAGAGGUCACACUUCUGCCAUAUUCUUUUCAUGAAAACUUAGUCACUAAGCCCGCCCAAAUUUGGUGGGGUGGGGGGAAUUACCAAAGAAUUGGCAGGCUAUAUGCAGAAUAUGCCAUAUCAGUGAAUUUUCUAUGUCAGAAUGAUCUUUCCAAGGUGAAAAACAAUACUGGGUCAGGGUUGGUCUCUGGAUUUUGAAAGCAACACAUAUAACAUGUGAGCCUGCUGCUUUCAUCUAGGCCAAUUUUAAGUGGGGCACAAAGCAAGAAAAGCCUCCACGGCAAGUCUAGGCUUUGAUGAAAAUUUUCCUUCCACGUGGACCUUAUGGUUGAGCAUACCAUAUAAGAUUGCUAGUUGGAAAAGCCUCCCGAGGUGCUGGGACUGCAGACGGAGUCUCGCUCACUCAGUGCUCAGUGUUGCCCAGGCUGGAGUGCAGUGGGGUGAUCUCGGCUCGCUACAACCUCCACCUCCCAGCCGCCUGCCUCGGCCUCCCAAAGUGCCGAGAUUGCAGCCUCUGCCCGGCCGCCACCCUGUCUGAGAGGUGAGGAGCGUCUCUGCCUGGCUGCCCAUCGUCUGGGAUGUGAGGAGCCCCUCUGCCCAGCCGCCCAGUCUGGGAAGUGAGGAGCCUCUCUGCCCGGCCGCCCAUCGUCUGGGAUGUGGGGAGCGCCUCUGCCCGGCUGCGACCCCGUCUGGGAACUGAGGAGCCUCUCUGCCCGGCUGCCACCCUGUCUGGGAGGUGAGGAGCGUCUCUGCCCGGCCGCCCCAUCUGAGAGCUCCUGCCUUGCUGCUGGGUGCUGGAGAGGCUAAAUGUAUGACUAAGGAGCAUCAAGUGACUACCAAACCCAAACUCCCCAUCAAGCACUGGAAUUCCAGUUUUUCCGUCUCCAAAUAGCCGGGGUUGGAAGAUGGGUUCUCGCCCUGACACCGCAGAGCUCUGUCUCAUCUAUAGAACAAGAGUACAGCCGCCUCCGUUAUCUCCCGACUGCAGCUGCUCUUAACGGUUUCGCUCUUGUUGCCCAGGCUGGAGUGCAGUGGUGUGAACUCAGCUCACCGCAACCUCCGCCUCCCAGGUUCAAGCGAUUCUCCUGCCUCAGCCUCCCGAGGAGCUGGGAUUACAGGCAUGCGCCAUCAUGCCCAGCUAAUGUUUUGUAUGCACCUUUUCUUAACUAUUAUUGAAGGGGUGGCCUGCCCCUCCACACCUGUGGGUGUUCCUCGUUGGGUGGAACGAGAGACUGAGAAAAGAAAGAGACACAGCGACAAAGUAUAGAGAAAGAAAAGUGGGCCCAGGGGACUGGCGCUCAGCAUAAGGAGGACCCGCACCAGCACCAGUCUCUGAGUUCCCUCAGUAUUUAUUGAUCAUUAUCUCUACCAUCUCAGAGAGGGGGACGUGGCAGGACAAUAGGGUAAUAGUGGGGAGAGGGUCAGCAGGAAAACAUGUGAACAAAUGUCUGUGUCAUAAACAAGGUUAAGAAAAGGUGCUGUGCUUUUGACGUGCACAUACAUAAACAUCUCGGUGCAUUAAAAAGCAGUAUUGCCGCCAGCAUGUCUCACCUCCAGCCCUAAGGUGGUUUUCUCCUAUCUCAGUAAAUAGAACAUACAAUCGGGUUUUACACCAAAACAUUCCAUUGCCCAGGGAUAAGCAGAAGACAGAUGCCUUCCUCUUAUCUCAACUGCAAAGAGGCCUUCCUCUUUUACUAAUCCUCCUCAGCACAGACCCUUUGUGGGUGUCGGGCUGGGGGACAGUCAGGUCUUUCCCUUCCCACGAGGCCAUAUCUCAGGCUAUCACAUGGGGAGAAACCUUGGACAAUACCUGGCUUUCCUAGACAGAGGUCCCUGCGGCCUUCCGCAGUGUAUUGUGUCCCUGGGUACUUGAGAUUAGAGAGUGGUGAUGACCUUUAACAAGCAUGCUGCCUUCAAGCACUUGUUUAACAAAGCACAUCCUGCACAGCCCUAAAUCCAUUAAACCGUGAGUCAACACAGCACAUGUCUCUGUGAGCACAGGGUUGGGGGUAGGGUUACAGAUUAACAGCAUCUCAAGGCAGAAGAAUUUUUCUCAGCACAGACCAAAAUGGAGUCUCUUAUGUCUACUUCUUUCUACAUAGACACAGUAACAGUCUGAUCUCUUUUUCUUUUCCCCACAAUUAUAAGAGUAUACAAGGUGGUGAUGAAGAAACCUGGGAUUACGUGCUGUGAAAUGGGGAUAACAGCAAUUCUAACUUCAUAGUUUUCUCAUGGUAAUUAAAUGACACAAAAUCAUGUUAAGUUCCAAGACAAGAGUCUGGUGCAUUUUAAGUGCUCAGUAAAUACUAGCAAUUAUUAAUUGUUGUUAUUUGCCACCAUUCUCCAAGAGUACAAGAAAAUAUUUAUGACUGGACUUAGGGAGCAAACACUCACGUUGACCAUACGGUGAGUAAUAAGAUGCAGUCUUCUUAGCAUCACCAAAGUCAUAGACCACAGGUAUGGCUGGGCCAUUGUCAUUCCAACAUUUCCCUGAUCUGUAUUUCACUGGGUAUUUCUGCAGAGACCCAGAAGAAAGGUUUUGUGAGGACAGUAGAGAUGCUGCCACAGUGUGGGGGGAGGAGGGGUUUCAAAUUAACUGCCAUUACCCAAAACCAAUCCUCAUAAUAGUGACUGCUUUUCCCCAUAGCUGUGUCUCCCCAACAGCCCCAAACCCCUUGUCCCUGUCUCUUUCUCCCCAUGCUUUCCUGUCCCACAGGCCUCUUCCUUGCUGGCUUAGAGUUUCUGAGAGGCCAGACAUGAGUUCACAGUGAAUCAAAGGAAGGAGAAACAGCCAACCACUCAGUAGUGAUGUGGAACCACAGGACAGAUCUGCCCCCUACCCUAGACACUUCGAUCUCUGUUCACCAAAGAAAGUGCCCCCCAGCCAGCAGCCCUGUGUACCUGGUAGAUGCCAAACAGAUUAUGUCCCAGUCUCUGGAGGAAGCCAGUGUUGGUGCGGUACCUCAGCAG